rnacentral:rRNA from 1 species
GACGAACGCUGGCGGCGUGCCUAAUACAUGCAAGUCGAGCGGACCAAACAGGAGCUUGCUCUUGUUUGGUUAGCGGCGGACGGGUGAGUAACACGUGGGUAACCUGCCCGUAAGACCGGGAUAACUCCGGGAAACCGGAGCUAAUACCGGAUAACACCGAAGACCGCAUGGUCUUUGGUUGAAAGGCGGCUUCGGCUGCCACUUACGGAUGGGCCCGCGGCGCAUUAGCUAGUUGGUGAGGUAACGGCUCACCAAGGCGACGAUGCGUAGCCGGCCUGAGAGGGUGACCGGCCACACUGGGACUGAGACACGGCCCAGAAUCCCACGGGAGGCAGCAGUAGGGAAUCUUCCGCAAUGGGCGAAAGUCUGACGGGGCGACGCCGCGUGAGCGAAGAAGGUCUUCGGAUCGUAAAGCUCUGUUGUUAGGGAAGAAGAAGCGCCGUUCGAAAAGGGCGGCGCGGUGACGGUACCUAACGAGAAAGCCCCGGCUAACUACGUG